rnacentral:lncRNA from 1 species
GAAUCUGGGGAGAGCAAGAGUUUUCUGUCAGAGAGAGGCAGUUAGCUCUCAAUACUGAGACAGACUAAGGAAGGUCUGGUCAAGAUUUUGCUCCUGAGGAAAACUUACAUCUUUCUUCUGGUGAUUUGGACACCCUUCCCCCAAUUGAUUCCCAACUGAAGGGGCAUUUGAAGAAGACACCAAGCAGCUGACAAGAUCACCUGACAAAUCCUGGUGCCCUGGGUUGGGAUGGUACACAGGGGGGCCCAGGCCAGGGCCAUGCAAGCCUGGAUCUCUUGGGGCCCAAGGCUGCCAAGGCCUGAGUUCCCCAACUUGAGGAGGGAGGAAUGGACCUAUGGAGACCUCAUAGCAUGUCUUACCUCAUGGACUGGUCAAGUUGUUAUUUCCAGUUGUCUGAAGAUCAGAAGUUGGCAGGAAGGUGGACCCAUCCAAGAUUGUCAUCAGCCUUGUCAGGGCAUGAAAGAUGCCAGGUUUAGUGACUGCCAGGGGAUACUGAGGAAGAAGUUGUCUCAUUUACGUCCCAAACCACAAGCCUGAAAGUUCACUUUGCACAGGCUUCCUGAAUAGGGAUGGGGAGUCUGAGAAGAACCUUUAAAUUUGACAGUUCUCUCAUAUUGUUUCAUGAAGCUUUUAACUCACAUAAUGUGUCUCUUUUUCUGAAAGAGAAAUGACUUUGAAAAACCUUAGAACUCUUUUGAGUGCACGAAGAUAUGUUCUCAAGGUAUAUAAUAAAACAUAGAGUUUUGGAAAUGAUCUUCA